ACACAUGCAAGUCGAACGAGAAUCUGCGGAAAGAGGAUUCGUCCAAUUGAAGCAGAGGACAGUGGCGGACGGGUGAGUAACGCGUGAGGAACCUGCCUUUCAGAGGGGGACAACAGUUGGAAACGACUGCUAAUACCGCAUGACACAUUGGGGUCGCAUGGCCCUGAUGUCAAAGAUUUAUCGCUGAAAGAUGGCCUCGCGUCUGAUUAGCUAGUUGGUGAGGUAACGGCCCACCAAGGCGACGAUCAGUAGCCGGACUGAGAGGUUGAACGGCCACAUUGGGACUGAGAUACGGCCCAGACUCCUACGGGAGGCAGCAGUGGGGAAUAUUGGGCAAUGGGCGCAAGCCUGACCCAGCAACGCCGCGUGAAGGAAGAAGGCUUUCGGGUUGUAAACUUCUUUUGUCAGGGACGAGAAGAAGACGGUACCUGACGAAUAAGCCACGGCUAACUACGUGCCAGCAG
rnacentral:rRNA from 1 species